rnacentral:rRNA from 1 species
GAUGAACGCUAGCUACAGGCUUAACACAUGCAAGUCGAGGGGAAACGACAUCGAAAGCUUGCUUUUGAUGGGCGUCGACCGGCGCACGGGUGAGUAACGCGUAUCCAACCUGCCCAUCACUUGGGGAUAACCUUGCGAAAGUAAGACUAAUACCCAAUGAUAUCUCUAGAAGACAUCUGAAAGAGAUUAAAGAUUUAUCGGUGAUGGAUGGGGAUGCGUCUGAUUAGCUUGUUGGCGGGGUAACGGCCCACCAAGGCAACGAUCAGUAGGGGUUCUGAGAGGAAGGUCCCCCACAUUGGAACUGAGACACGGACCAAACUCGUACGGGAGGCAGCAGUGAGGAAUAUUGGGCAAUGGGCGAGAGCCUGAACCAGCCAAGUAGCGUGCAGGAAGACGGCCCUAGGGGUUGUAAACUGCUUUUAUAAGGGAAUAAAGUGAGAGUCGUGACUCUUUUUGUAUGUACCUUAUGAAUAAGGACCGGCUAAUUCCGUG